CAUAACUGUCAUACCACUCUGAAAACAACCAGUCUCAUCAGAUUUUGAAAGCUAAAGUAGGGUCAGGCUUGUAAAUACUUGGAUUGGACAUUACCAGAUAGUACCAAGGAUUUCCUGGUUGAGUUAAGA
rnacentral:rRNA from 1 species